rnacentral:rRNA from 1 species
CAGCAGCCGCGGGAAUACGGAGGGGGCUAGCGUUGUUCGGAAUUACUGGGCGUAAAGCGCACGUAGGCGGCUUGGUAAGUUAGAGGUGAAAGCCCGGAGCUCAACUCCGGAAUUGCCUUUAAGACUGCCGAGCUAGCAGGUGAGAGAGGUAAGUGGAAUUCCGAGUGUAGAGGUGAAAUUCGUAGAUAUUCGGAAGAACACCAGUGGCGAAGGCGGCUUACUGGCUCAUACUGGACGCUGAGGUGCGAAAGCGUGGGGAGCAAACAGGAUUAGAUACCCGUGUAGUCCCUGUCUCUUAUAU